CUAUAUAUGUAUAGCGGUGACCAAAUAUCCUAAAAGACAUUGCACUUCAUCAUUCCAUGCCUUCAGACAUUUAAGGGCCAUGGAUGGUGAUCUCCUCCAGAGACAAAAUAAAUGCUGGUGCACAACAGGUGGCCACAGAGUGCAUCUGCUCUGGGGGACCCAUCGCUCAUAUACCCUCCCAUAAGAGCAGGAAAGGGGAUUCAUAAAGACGUUCUUCUGAUGGGGAAUGCUCUACGAGGCCGCCUUCACAUGGUGAGUAGUGACCGUGACACCUCUGCAGCGUCCCUGGUCACUUGUAGCCCCUGAAAGGGUCAUCGGGAGCAGAUCACUUCUUUUCUUCAGGGCUGGAGAAAGUACCUCCGUGCAUUUUCCAGAGAAAGCACCUCUUCAAAGACACACACCGGAGACUGUCUCUUCCUGGACUGCAAACUGAUCUCACCAAUCAAAUUCUUACUACUAUGUAGCCACCCUGGAGGCCUUUGAGAGGACAGUCAGAUGGUCAGAGAUGAGUCGCUCUGCAUUCUGCUCCCUGGGCCAAAAACGUCGACCUAGAAGGAAGGGGCUUAAGCACAAACAUGAUUUAAAAAGUUUGUUUGAGCCAAUGUGAGGACACUUGCCUGGAAGACUCAGAUCCAAGCAAUCUUGGAUGUGGGCUCCAUUUGCCCUUUGUUACAAGCAGGUUUCUAAAGACCAAAAAGGGAGACGGGGAGUUGGCUGGUACAAAAUUGCCUGUCAGGAACUCCCUGAAGUUUACAGAAAUAACAUUGAUUAAUGAUUAGCUAUACAUUGUUCAGCUACAGGGAGUGAGAGAUGGUGUCCAGUGCAGCAUGUUUAGGUUGCUUUAUAGCCACUUGUGAUGAUAGCAAGCUGUUUUAAUAGAUGAAUACACGGCUUCAAAACAGGGACAUAAGACGUUGUUGCUGUCUCAUUUUAAUGCCUAACUCUGGGCUUGUUAAUUUGAAAGCACUCACUUUCCUCACAUAAAAUUUCUUUUCUUUCCUCAGACAUUUGAAUUCUUUAUAGUUUAGGAAUAUUUUGAAUAAAUAUGUAUUUGUUUUACAUGUCUUUGGUAAACCAUAUUCACGUUUCUCUAGAAAUAGAAAUUCCAAUAGAAAUAUAAUGCCAGGCAUAUACGUACUUUUAAAUGUAUUAGUAGACAUGUUUUAAAAAGUAAAAAGAAAGAGGUGAAAUUAUUUUUUAUAAUAUAUAUUCAACUAAAUAUAUUUAAGGUAUUAUCAUUACCCCAUGUGACACUAGCAAGAUUUCAAGUGUUCAAUAGCUACCCGUGGUUUGUGGCUAUCAUAUUGGAAAGCACAAGUCUAUGGGGUAGAAAAGUUGAAUUUCUGGGUCAUAGCAUAUAUGUAUGUGUGUUUUACCACUAGAAUAUACAGGCAAACAAUUUUCCAAAGUUUUUGAACUUAUUUAUACUCUUGCCAGAAAUGAAUAGAAGAUUAUAACGCUUCCGUUGUGCCAAAAUCUGGGAAUGUCUUUUUUUUUAAGUCAAGUUUACUGAGGUAUAAUUAAAACUCACCAGCGUUACAUGUUGUACGUGGUUCUCAGUGAUAUACUCUCUUUGCAAAGCUGGCUUUUGGUGGUAGCUUUGAUUUAAAAGCUAAUGCCACGUAAAAAAAUUCAAUACGUAGGGCCAGGCGAGGUGGCUCAUGCCUGUAAUUCUAGCACUUUGGAAGGAUGAGGUGGACGGAUCACUUGAGGUCAGGGGUUUGAGAUCAGCCUGGCCAAAAUGGUGAAACCCCAUUUCUACUAAAAAUACAAAAAUUAGCCAGGUGUGGUGGGGGGAACCUAUAGUCUCAGCUACUUGGGAGACUGAGGCAGGAGGAUCAUCUGAGCUCUGGAGGCUGAAGUUUCAGUGAGCUAUCAUUGCA
rnacentral:lncRNA from 10 species